GUGCUAAUCUGCGAAAAGCUUGGAUGAGUCGAUAAGAGGCGUUUAAUCCGAGAUAUCCGAAUGGGGAAACCCAGUGGGUGAAGAACCCACUAUCAUUAUCUGAAUCCAUAGGAUAAUGAGGCGAACCGGGAGAACUGAAACAUCUAAGUACCCCGAGGAAAAGAAAUCAACCGAGAUUUCGUUAGUAGCGGCGAGCGAACGCGAAGGAGCCUGUUAGUGAUAAUGACAGAGACAGAGGAAUGUGCUGGGAAGCGCAGCGACACAGGGUGAUAGCCCCGUACUCGAAGUCUGUGUUAUGG
rnacentral:rRNA from 1 species